rnacentral:rRNA from 1 species
CCGGCGCACGGGUGAGUAACACGUAUGGAACCUGCCCGCAGCAGGGGGAUAAGCGGAAGAAAUUCCGUCUAAUACCGCGUAACAACCCAUGGAGGCAUCUCUGUGGGUUUAAAGGAAGCGAUUCCGGCUACGGAUGGUCAUGCGUCGCAUUAGCUUGUUGGCGGGGUAACGGCCCACCAAGGCGACGAUCAGUAGCCGGCCUGAGAGGGUGGACGGCCACAUUGGGACUGAGACACGGCCCAAACUCCUACGGAAGGCAGCAG